rnacentral:tRNA from 1 species
GGAGGCUUAGCUUAAUUAAGUGUCUGAGUUGCAUUCAGGAGAUGUGGUUUGUAGUCUU